GAUGAACGCUGGCGGCGUGCCUAAUACAUGCAAGUCGAGCGAACGGACGAGAAGCUUGCUUCUCUGAUGUUAGCGGCGGACGGGUGAGUAACACGUGGAUAACCUACCUAUAAGACUGGGAUCACUUCGGGAAACCGGAUCUAAUACCGUAUAAUAUUUUGACCCGCAUGGUUCAAUAGUGAAAGACGGUCUUGCUGUCACUUAUAGAUGGAUCCGCGCUGCAUUAGCUAGUUGGUAAGGUAACGGCUUACCAAGGCAACGAUGCAUAGCCGACCUGAGAGGGUGAUCGGCCACACUGGAACUGAGAAACGGUCCAGACUCCUACGGGAGGCAGCAGUAGGGAAUCUUCCGAAAUGGGCGAAAGCCUGACGGAGCAACGCCGCGUGAGUGAUGAAGGUCUUCGGAUCGUAAAACUCGGUUAUUAGGGAAGAACAUAUGUGUAAGUAACUGUGCACAUCGUGACGGUACCUAAUCAGAAAGCCACGGCUAACUACGUG
rnacentral:rRNA from 1 species